GACGAACGCUGGCGGCGUGCCUAAUACAUGCAAGUUGAGCGCUGAAGGUUGGUACUUGUACCAACUGGAUGAGCAGCGAACGGGUGAGUAACGCGUGGGGAAUCUGCCUUUGAGCGGGGGACAACAUUUGGAAACGAAUGCUAAUACCGCAUAAAAACUUUAAACACAAGUUUUAAGUUUGAAAGAUGCAAUUGCAUCACUCAAAGAUGAUCCCGCGUUGUAUUAGCUAGUUGGUGAGGUAAAGGCUCACCAAGGCGAUGAUACAUAGCCGGCCUGAGAGGGUGAUCGGCAAAAUGGGGACUGAGCAACGGCCAAAACUCCUACGGGAGGAGACAGUAGGGAAUCUUCGGCAAGGGACGAAAGUCGGACAGAGCAACGCCGGGGGAGUAAAGAUGGUUUGCGGAUGGGAAACCCUUUUGGGUGAGGAAGAACGUUGGGGGGGGGGGAAACCGUAUCAAGGGCGGUAAACUACCAAAAGAGGCGCGGUAACUAGGUU
rnacentral:rRNA from 1 species